GACAAUGUGUCUUCUCACCCUUUACUAUGGUUUCUUUUGCCUCUGCAAGUUAGUUCUCCAAAAAAGAGACCAGAGCUGCUAUAUGCUGGCUUAUGAGUGUUACAAGGCCAAAGAGGACAUGAAGGUCAACAGUGAUUCCUGCGCAAAAAUCGUCAUGCAGAACAAGAAUCUGGGAUUGGAAGAACUCAGGUUUCUCUUGAAAACUAUUGUCAAUUCCGGCAUUGGUGAAGAAACUUCUUGCCCAAGAAACAUCAUUGAAUGCCGAAAUUCAACCAUAGAAGAUGAGCUUCAUGAGAUGGAUGGUAUAAUAUUUGACACACUUGACAAGCUUUUUGCUAGGUCUACUUCAAUUUCUCCUUCACAAAUCGACAUUCUGGUUGUCAAUGUGUCAAUGUUCUCCCCUGCACCCUCUCUAACAUCUCGUAUAAUAAAUCGUUACAAGAUGAGGGAGGACAUCAAGACCUUCAACCUCUCAGGAAUGGGAUGCAGUGAAAGUCUCAUUGCUAUUGAUGUUGUACAAAACUUGUUCAAGUCAUACAAAAACGCAAAUGCAAUUGUUGUAAGCACAGAAUCCAUAGCUCCUAACUGGUACUGUGGCAAAGAAAAGUCCAUGAUGCUCACCAACUGUCUGUUCCGCUCGGGAGGGUGUUCGAUGCUGUUCACAAACAACAGAGACCUAAAGCACCGAGCCAUGUUGAAGUUAAAGCAUCUGGUACGAACCCACAUUGGCUCAAGUAAUGAAGCGUAUGAUUGCUGCAUACAGGCAGAAGAUGAGAGUGGAUAUCAAGGUUUUCGCCUUACCAAAUACCUCACAAAAGCAGCUGCUCUGGCUUUUACAAUGAACCUCCAAAUUCUAGUCCCUAAAAUGCUUCCACUAAGAGAAAUUCUCAGGUAUCUGUUGGCAUCUCUGCUUCAUAAUUUAAGUAAUAAGAGCCAAAACCUAGAAGCAGAUGGGGGAGAUGGUGUGAAACUGAAUAUUAAGACUGGGAUCGAGCACUUUUGCAUUCACCCUGGUGGAAGAGCAAUCAUAGAUGGGAUUGGUAAGAGCUUGGGGCUAAGUGAUUAUGAUGUAGAGCCAUCUAGAAUGGCCCUUUACAGGUUUGGUAACACAUCAGCAGCUGGCUUUUGGUAUGCUUUGGGAUACAUGGAGGCCAAGCAGAGGCUUAAGAAGGGCAACAGAAUUCUGAUGAGUGGAUUUGGAGCAGGUUUUAAGUGCAACAAUAUUGUGUGGGAAGUACUCAAGGACUUGGAGGAUGCCAAUGUUUGGAAAGAUUGCAUAGACAGUUACCCUCCUGAAACCCUAGUCAAUCCAUUCAUGGAGAAGUAUGGUUGGCUCAAUGAUGAAUAUCUAAGCUUUCUUAGGCUUGAUUUUUCCCAAAUAUUUGCUUA
rnacentral:lncRNA from 1 species